CUAGAACUUACCACCAGGAUCACUGAGCUGCUGAGCGGAGAGGUUCCUAUAAGGUGUCAGGAUGUCGCUGUCUAUUUCUCCAUGGAGGAGUGGGAGUAUUUAGAAGAACACAAGGAUCUGUACAAGGACGUCAUAAUGGAGAAUCACCAGUCCCUCACAUCACUGGAUGGAUCCAGUCCUGAGAAAUCCACCAGUGAUAUGCCCCAGUCCUCUGUAUUCCCAGGACUGUCCAGAAGAAAAACCAAAUGUCCCACUGGAUCAUCAGGACAGUUCUGGAGGAACAAUGAUCGGCUUAGGAAAACCUGUAUCAAUAUCAGUGAAAGGUGAAGACACGUUGAGCAGCUCCCAUGGAUACUUCAAUUUAUCUUCCUACCAUGAAAUAGAAGAUAACAAUACUACACACGCUAAUUCAAUAACUCCUAAUGUAUCCUCAGUCUUUCAAAGCGAAGCUCUAUCCACCAAUACCACUGGUCUCAAGAAAAGUUUGUGUAAUCAAUCACUGAUUGGCAAAACAAGAACUAAAAAGAAAUGCGGGAAACAUUUAAAAAAAAAAUCGAAUCUUUCUUUGCAUAAGAGAAAUCACAAAUCAUUUUCAUGCUCUGAAUGUGGGAAAUCUUUUACCAGGAAAUGCAUUCUAGUUGGACAUCAGAUAACUCACACAGGAGAGAAGCCUUAUUCAUGUUCAGAAUGCGGAAAAUCUUUUACCACAAAAUUAAUUCUAGUUGGACAUCAGAGGACUCACACAGGAGAGGAGCUGCAUUCAUGUUCAGAAUGUGGGAAAUGUUUUAGUUAUAAAUCGUACCUUUAUAGACAUCAGAGAACUCACACUGGGGAGAAGCCAUUUCCAUGUCCUGAAUGUGGGAAGUGUUUUAGUCAGAAGUCAUAUCUUGUGGACCAUCUAAGAAUCCACUUAGGGGAGAAGCCAUUUUCAUGUUCAGAAUGUGGGAAGAGUUUUAGUACAAAAUUGUGUCUUGUUAGACAUCAGAAAACUCACACAGGUGAGAAGCCAUUUAUGUGUCCUGAAUGUGGGAAGUGUUUCCAUGUGAAAUCAAGGCUUGUAGAACAUCAAAGAAGUCACACAGGGGAGAAGCCAUUUUCAUGUUCAGAAUGUGGAAAGAGUUUUAGUACAAAAUGUUGUUUGGUUAGACAUCAGAAAACUCACACAGAUGAGAAGUCAUUUAUGUGUCCUGAAUGUGGGAAGUGUUUUCAUCUGAAAUCAAGGCUUGUGGAACAUCAAAGAAGUCACACAGGGGAGAAGCCAUUUUCAUGUCCUGAAUGUGGGAAGUGCUUUAGUCAAAAAUCAUGUCUUGUGGGCCAUCUAAGAAUCCACUCAGGGGAGAAGCCAUUUUCAUGUUCAGAAUGUGGGAAUUGUUUUACCAGUCAGGCAACUUUUAUUCGGCAUCAUAGAACUCACACUGGGGAGAAGCCAUUUUCAUGCCCUGAAUGUGGAAAGUGUUUUAGUCAGAAAUCAACUCUUAUUACACAUCAGAGAACUCACACAGGGGAGAAGCCAUUUAUGUGUCCUGAGUGUGGGAGGUGUUUUGGUGGUAAAACAAACCUUAUACAACAUCUUAGAAGUCACACAGGGGAGAAGCCAUUUUCAUGCUCACAAUGUGGGAAAAGUUUUAGUACAAAAUUGUGUCUUGUUAGACAUCAGAAAAGUCACACAGGAGGAGAAGCAAUUUAUGUGCCCUGAAUGUGGGAAGUGUUUUGAUGUAGAAUUGAUGCUUGUAGAACAUCAAAGAAUUCACACAGGAGAUAAGACAUUUGUUUGCUGAAUGUGGUAAGUAUUUUAGUGUGAAAUCAGUGCUUAUACAACAUCUUAGAAGUCACACAGGGGAGAACCCAUUUUCAUGUUUACAGUGUGAAAAAUGUUUUUGUCAGAAAACACGACUUGUGACCCAUCUAAGAAAUCAUUUAGGUGAGAAGCCAUUUUCAUGCUUAGAAUGUGGGAAAUGUUUUAUUCUGAAAUCUUAUCUUGUUACACACCAGAGAAGUCACAGAGGGGAGAAGCCAUUUAUGUGUCCUGAAUGAGGGACAUGUUUCAGUGAGAAAUCGCAACUUGUUACACAUCAGUGAGUUCACACAAAGGAGAAGCCAUUUUCAUGCUCAGAAUGCGGUAAAUGUUUUAGUCUGAAAUCACAUCUUGCUGCACAUCAAAGAAUUCACACAGGGGAGAAGCCAUUUAUGUGUUCUGAAUGUGGGAAGUGUUUUGGUCUGAAGACAUUGCUUAUAGAACAUCUAAGGACUCACACAGGAGAGAAGCCAUUUUCAUGUUCAAAAUGUGAAAGACUCCCUUUAAGUCAUCAAUCAAAAUUUCUAGACAUGAGAGAACUCACUCAGAGAAGAAGCCAUUGUGAGCGUAAGGUGGUCAAUGUUAACAUUUUAUUCAUAUAGUACAUAUAAUAUCACUGAUUUAUAAUGCAUAUAACGGCAUAAAUUGAACCUUCAUUUUUUAAUCUGUGUAUCCUCUGUGAACUUUGUCAACUAUUCCACUGUUUCAAAACAACUUAGCCUAGAACAUAUCUGUAAAGAAUAAA